rnacentral:rRNA from 1 species
UACGUAGGGCGCAAGCGUUGUCCGGAAUCAUUGGGCGUAAAGAGCUCGUAGGUGGUCUGUUACGUCUGCUGUGAAAUCCUAGGGCUUAACCCUGGGCCUGCAGUGGAUACGGGCAGACUAGAGGUAGGUAGGGGAGAAUGGAAUUCCCGGUGUAGCGGUGAAAUGCGCAGAUAUCGGGAGGAACACCGGUGGCGAAGGCGGUUCUCUGGGCCUUACCUGACGCUGAGGAGCGAAAGCGUGGGGAGCGAACAGG